rnacentral:rRNA from 1 species
GACGAACGCUGGCGGCGUGCUUAACACAUGCAAGUCGAACGAUGAAGCCUUCGGGUGGAUUAGUGGCGAACAGGUGAGUAACACGUGGGUGACCUGCCCUGCACUUUGGGAUAAGCCUGGGAAACUGGGUCUAAUACCGGAUAGGACCCAUUGGCACAUGUUCAGGGGAGGAAAGCUUUUCCGGUGUGGGAUGGGCCCGCGGCCUGUCAGCUUGUUGGGGGGGUAAGGGACUACCAAGGCGACGACGGGUAGCCGGCCUGAGAGGGUGUCCGGCCACACUGUGACGGAGAUACGGCCCAGACUCCUACGGGAGGCAGCAGUGGGGAAUAUUGCACAAUGGGCGAAAGCCUGAUGCAGCGACGCCGCGUGGGGGAUGACGGCCUUCGGGUUGUAAACCUCUCUCAGUAGGGACGAAGCGCAAGUGACGGUACCUACAGAAGAAGCACCGGCCAACUACGUGCCAGCCGCCGCCGUAAUAC